rnacentral:rRNA from 1 species
GCCUCCCCUUCCGCCGCCACUCAGACUCCUACGGAGGCGAGCAGUAAGGAGUAUUGGUCAAUGGACGCAAGUCUGAACCAGCCAUGCCGCGUGGAGGAGUGAAGGCCCUCUCGGGUUGUAAACUUCUUUUAUCUUGGAAGAAACCCAUCUUUCUAAGGUUGGUUGACGGUACCAGUUGAAUAAGCACCGGCUAACUCCGUGCCAGCAGCCGCGGUAAUAC